CUUAGGUAUGAAGUGUUUGGAUUCUUGAGCCAGAUUGUCUGAGUUCAAAUUCCGGCCAGCUGUGUGCUCUUGGACACGGCACUUCACGUCUCUGUGUCUGUAUUUCUCAGCUCAUCAAAGGAAACAAUUAGCAAGAAACCUAACUCAUGGAAUCUCUAAGAGAACCGACCGGGAUAAAGGACGUGCAUUGACUGAACUUGGCCCCAAGCCCACAAACGGAGCUUCUCUCGAGACCCUGAGCACACUGAUGCAGAAAAUAUCAAGCAGUGAGGGGCAUGAAGUCCCUGUGCAAAACGUCUCAGGAACUGGGACCAGUGCUUCAGAGAAGAGAGGCCAAAGGAAGGAGAAAAGCUAUUUGGAUUCACCUUGGAGUCAAUCUAAUCCGUCUUGAGUCGUGGACCAAUAGAGACCCAAGAGGCCAGCCCUUUUCUUUCUGUGAGCCAGCAGCAGACAUGAGACAGGAGGAGAACCAAGGAGCUAACCCACGCCUUCCCUUGAACCAGUGGAAGCCAUGUGGGCCAAGAGGAGAAUACAGAUGCUAAUCCACACCUUCCUGUGAGCCAGAGCCAGCCUCUGGGAGACAAAAAGAACUCCCUGCAUCCUCCGACCCUGCCCACUGAUUUGGAGGAACACAAGCUGAGACAAUAACAAUUGAAGUAAACAAACAAAACUGUUUGUAUUGUUUGACUGACUUUACAGGCCUAAAGCCAGUAGUCUGAGCAUCUAUUUAGAGGAUAACAAUAUGCAAUAUAGCAACUAUGGGGAAUUUUCUUCAGUCUUGUUUUUGAGAUCCAAUGCUGUGUGUUUCAUUCUAUUAGCUUAAAAAAAUCAAUCUUUGUGUUUUGUUGUGGGAUUUUGAUUGUUUGUUCUUUUGUUUUUGUUUCUUGAGACAGGGUCUCACUAUUGAGCCCAGGCUGGCUUUGAACUCCCAGCAGUACCUUUGUCUUAGCCUCCCAAGUGCUGAGAUUACAGUUGUGCACCAUCAUGCUAGAAAAAGGAUCAUUCUUUGAAGAAUAAAUAGUGGCAUCCCUGUAUUUAAAAUAUGACUCCUUUAUUGUUUAUUUUACUUGAAAACUGUGAAAGACACAACAGGAAAGGCAGAAAAUUUCUGCUAAGUCUAUUAUAGAUUGAAAACUAGUAUAAUUCAGUUGGUAAUGAACAACAGAAAAUGUCACUGUAUAGUUUUAAAAGUAUAAAGUCUCAUAAUGAAAAGACAGAAGUUUUCAAAGUGUAACAGCUUAUCUGUUUUCUUAACUUUGUAAGAAUCUUGAUCCUAAAAAUAAGUAAUUACUAUUAGUAAAAUAUUAUAAUCUCUAUUAGCCAGGCUACUUAUAGCCAUUUUUGCCUACAUAUGUAUGAACUUGUUUAUUUCUACUGGUAAUAUAAAUGAUUAGCCAUCAAACCCUUUGAGAACCAUUUGGGGAAGAACUAUAAAUCCUGGGUGUUACAUGAAAACUUUCUUUGAUAUCAGUUCAUUCAAUAGAAUGUGAACAUCAAAGUCUGUGGAGUGGAUGCCACUGGAAGGAAAUAUUGGAGACAGUAGAAAAACAUUCUCAGGAAUUCUGGGUUCCCAACAUUCUUGAUGCAAAAUGGUCAUAAUUAUUGGAAAAUACACUAAUAUCAAGGACUUAGAGUCAAAAGUACUUUUGAAUAGUUGAUGUCUGACUGUUAAAGCAUUUUAAAAAUAAACAAUUUAGCAUAUAUUAUUUAUAUAUGAUAAAAAUCUUGAAAUAUAAAAUAAGAGAGAUACUUUGAUGAAUAUAAAAUUUUAGAUGAUAAAGAGACACUAUCUGAAAAAAAGUGAUUGAAAUAGUUGCUAUUUCAAGGAAUCGUGUUUCCUAUUGCGCCACUGUGAAUAGCAAAGACUAUUCUUUCUUCAACAGCAGAACUAUUGUCAAGAGCCGAGAAAGUCAGAAAUCAAACCAACUAUUCAUCAGUGAGUGUUCCAUUCUAUUGUGAUAACUAAAACAAUGACUUGAAGGUCAUGUUGUUUAAAGUCUCAGACUCUAAACAUAGUUCUCAGCCAGAAUAGGAGACUCCAAAGAUAAAGGCUUCCUUUCUUCCUGUCAUGGUUUCCACUGUGUGCAGCAAGGGAUGUUGGACAUGUCCGUAACAUUGCGUCUGCCUCUUUUUCUUUUCUUUUUUUUUUUUUUUUUUUUUUUUUUGUGCUGGGAAUUGAAUUUAGUACCUUGCGCUUGCCAGGCAAGGGCUCAUGCCACCGAGCUGUAUUUGUAGGCUACUGCUAGCUCUUUCCAUACUCAUGAUAAAAAUGUAUCUUAGCCUCUCCGCCAGCUUGGCUCAGGAAUUUUCACACAGUAGCUUGGGAGGAUAGAUCAACAGGGGCCUGAAUGUGUCCCAAAAACAAGUGUGAAGCUUUUGGAGCGAGGGAUUCUGGGUUUCUAUGUGGAGCAAGUUUAAGAAGGUGUGUUGGUGGAGAAUCUCUUUACUCUCUAAUGGCAGUAAAGGUCAGGUGAGCCAAGACUGAGAAGCAUUUGGGACCAGUGCAGAAGACUAAGCCAUCCCCCAAAAUACGUUGUGUUACAAGAGACACGUAAAGUCAGUAUCAGAACAUUUCUAAAUUAAUUUUACUGCAAGCAGUCAAAAUUUAUUUAUUGUGGAUAAAACUAUUCUCAGAGGCAAUUUUUGUGGCAGGAACAAAAGCAUUGUCUUUUGUUCAGCAUGACAUAAGAGUAACCUGCCUGAAGAUCAAAUUAAACCAGGAGAGGAAGGCCUGGAUGUAGCCCAGUGACAGAGCACGCUACCCCUCCCCUCACACCAAACAUACAUGCGAGGAAGCAGGCUUGUUGGCAAAGGCUUUCUAGGGAACACUGUACAUGGAAAUAAUUUGUAAAAUAAGCUUGAAUUUCAUAUAAUGUAUGAGGCUCCAAGUUGGAGUUUUCAUCAUUGAUUUUUUGUUUGAGCAUCAGAUAAAUUUAGUGUGCAAAAAAACCAGAAAGUGGUAUGGUAAACAUUAUGUAUCUGAUAAAAAAGAAAAAAUCACUUACAUUAAGAUAAGAAAUAUGUUGACAGAAAAGAAAUAUUUGUAUAAAGUAUGACAGCAAUGAGCAAGAAAAACAAAGAAAAGUAUUAGGAUUCCAGAAAUAUUCACCCUCUGAAAUCAGUUU